rnacentral:rRNA from 1 species
UACGAAGGGGACUAGCGUUGUUCGGAUUUACUGGGCUUAAAGCGCGCGUAGGCGGAUGUUUAAGUGUCUUGUGAAAUCCCACGGCUCAACCGUGGAACUGCUGGGCAUACUGGACAUCUCGAGGCACUCAGGGGCGAGCGGAACAAGUGGUGGAGCGGUGAAAUGCGUAGAUAUUGGGAGGAACACCAGUGGCGAAGGCGGCUACCUGGACCGGUUCUGACGCUGAGGCGCGAAAGCGUGGGUAGCAAACAGG